CACGAAGUUAGCCGGGGCUUAUUCUUGCGGUACCGUCAUUAUCUUCCCGCACAAAAGAGCUUUACAACCCUAGGGCCUUCAUCACUCACGCGGCAUGGCUGGAUCAGGGUUGCCCCCAUUGUCCAAUAUUCCCCACUGCUGCCUCCCGUAGGAGUUUGGGCCGUGUCUCAGUCCCAAUGUGGCUGAUCAUCCUCUCAGACCAGCUACUGAUCGUCGCCUUGGUAGGCCGUUACCCUACCAACUAGCUAAUCAGACGCGGGCCGAUCUUUCGGCGAUAAAUCUUUCCCCGUAAGGGCUUAUCCGGUAUUAGCACAAGUUUCCCUGUGUUGUUCCGAACCAAAAGGUACGUUCCCACGUGUUACUCACCCGUCUGCCACUGACACCGAAGUGCCCGUUCGACUUGCAUGUGUUAAGCCUGCCGCCAGCGUUCGCUCUGAGCCAGGAUCAAACUCU
rnacentral:rRNA from 1 species